rnacentral:rRNA from 1 species
GUCUUCAAUCUUACAGGAUGAGGAGCGGCGGACGGGUUAGCAACGCGUGGGAAUAUACCCUUCACUAUGGAAUAGCCUCGGGAAACUGAGAGUAAUACCAUAUACGCCCUUCGGGGGAAAGAUUUAUCGGUGAAGGAUUAGCCCGCGUAAGAUUAGAUAGUUGGUGGGGUAAUGGCCUACCAAGUCUACGAUCUUUAGCUGGUUUGAGAGGAUGAUCAGCAACACUGGGACUGAGACACGGCCCAGACUCCUACGGGAGGCAGCAGUGGGGAAUCUUAGACAAUGGGCGCAAGCCUGAUCUAGCCAUGCCGCGUGAGUGACGAAGGUCUUAGGAUCGUAAAGCUCUUUCGCCAGAGAUGAUAAUGACAGUAUCUGGUAAAGAAACCCCGGCUAACUCCGUGCCAGCAGCCGCGGUAAUACGGAGGGGGUUAGCGUUGUUCGGAAUUACUGGGCGUAAAGCGUACGUAGGCGGAUUGGAAAGUAGGGGGUGAAAUCCCAGGGCUCAACCCUGGAACUGCCUCCUAAACUAUCAGUCUAGAGUUCGAGAGAGGUGAGUGGAAUUCCAAGUGUAGAGGUGAAAUUCGUAGAUAUUUGGAGGAACACCAGUGGCGAAGGCGGCUCACUGGCUCGAUACUGACGCUGAGGUACGAAAGUGUGGGGAGCAAACAGGAUUAGAUACCCUGGUAGUCCACACCGUAAAG